AGACCAACAGGGAUUGCCCUAGUAACGGCGAGUGAAGCGGCAACAGCUCAAAUUUGAAAUCUGGCUCUCGGGCCCGAGUUGUAAUUUGUAGAGGAUACUUUUGAUGCGGUGCCUUCCGAGUUCCCUGGAACGGGACGCCAUAGAGGGUGAGAGCCCCGUCUGGUUGGAUGCCAAAUCUCUGUAAAGUUCCUUCGACGAGUCGAGUAGUUUGGGAAUGCUGCUCUAAAUGGGAGGUAUAUGUCUUCUAAAGCUAAAUACCGGCCAGAGACCGAUAGCGCACAAGUAGAGUGAUCGAAAGAUGAAAAGCACUUUGAAAAGAGAGUUAAAAAGUACGUGAAAUUGUUGAAAGGGAAGCGUUUAUGACCAGACUUGGGCUUGGUUAAUCAUCUGGGGUUCUCCCCAGUGCACUUUUCCAGUCCAGGCCAGCAUCAGUUUUCGCCGGGGGAUAAAGACUUCGGGAAUGUGGCUCUCUUCGGGGAGUGUUAUAGCCCGUUGUGUAAUACCCUGGCGGGGACUGAGGUUCGCGCAUCUGCAAGGAUGCUGGCGUAAUGGUCAUCAACGACCCGUCUUGAAACACGGACCAAGGAGUCGUCUUCGUAUGCGAGUGUUCGGGUGUCAAACCCCUACGCGUAAUGAAAGUGAACGCAGGUGAGAGCUUCGGCGCAUCAUCGACCGAUCCUGAUGUUCUCGGAUGGAUUUGAGUAAGAGCAUACGGGGCCGGACCCGAAAGAAGGUGAACUAUGCCUGUAUAGGGUGAAGCCAGAGGAAACUCUGGUGGAGGCUCGCAGCGGUUCUGACGUGCAAAUCGAUCGUCAAAUAUGGGCAUGGGGGCGAAAGACUAAUCGAACCUUCUAGUAGCUGGUUUCCGC
rnacentral:ncRNA from 1 species